UAACAGUUUUACUUUAGAUUUACAAUCAAAAAAAGCUUUAGCACUGUUAA
rnacentral:tRNA from 1 species